AGCAGUGUAGCUCAGUGGAAAGAGCAUGGGCUUGGGAGUCAGAGGACGUGGGUUCUAAUCCCAGCUCUGUCA
rnacentral:tRNA from 1 species